GCCGAUUUAGCUCAGCUGGUAGCAGCGCGUGAUUUGUAAUCUCGAGGUCCAGGGUUCGAAUCCCUGAGUCGGCU
rfam:Treponema socranskii subsp. socranskii VPI DR56BR1116 = ATCC 35536 strain VPI DR56BR1116 ctg120007787826, whole genome shotgun sequence.